rnacentral:snRNA from 1 species
CAUGACUUGCUUCGGUGGUGAGCAUACUAAAUUGGAACAAUACAGAGAAGAUCAGCAUGGCUUUUUGUUAAGAAAACAAAAAGUUCACGGCAAGUUCCAGAUAUAU